UAUCCAUUCUGCUGAGCUCCCCCAUGCUGUUACACUUCUUACUUUAACCUCUGCGGAGGCAAGGCUGCUAGAUCAUUGACUCUAAUCACACAGAAAGGUGAAACCUUGUGCCGGGACACGCCGAUUUCCCCCCCUUUAGACAUUCAAAGAGGAUAAUGCGAGGGGCGCGACUUGAGUGACCCGCCGGUGCCUUUGCCUCUGUAUGUCCUCUGUACAGUGUUCGCCUGCUUAGCUUACCGUAUCGUAUCCACCAUCCUCGCUGUAAUACAUUUAUAAGAGAGAGAAAGCCGUACAUUACUGACGCCUGCGAGCCUAGUAUCUCCCCUGGAAGAAACAGACAGACGAAAGAUUUGAGUAACGGGGGGGGGGAAAAAGAACCGUCUGCCAAAGGGUCCCGUGUUCUCACUGGGAUGCUAGUGGACUGGCGUGGUGCUGAGACUAUUGGAGUAUGGUGAAACACCAACCCUUGCAGGUCUACGAGAGGCAGCUGUGUUUGUCGUGCCUGACUGGGAUUUAUGGGUGCCGCUGGAAGCGGUACCAGCGGUCACAUGAUGACACGACCAAGUGGGAGUGCGUGUGGUUCCUCAUCCUUAUUGGCACCUUCUCCCUGCUUCUUGUCUGGCUCUACUUCUGGGUGGAGGCACGCAAUGACUACAACGAGUUCAACUGGUCUCUAUACAACAAAUCGGGGGAGUGGAACGACGGCACCAUCACCGUCCUGACGAUGACGGCGGCGGGCUUUACCUACACUGCGUUUUUAAUGGUUCUCGCCCUCGGUCACAUAGCUCUGGGACAGCAGCUGAACCUUCACUGGAUGCACAAGAUCGGCGUCACCGCAGCUCUGCUCACCACCGUCGUUGGGAUGAUCUCAGUCGGCCAGACGUGGGGAGAGGAAUGGGAUAUCAUUGCCAUCUCUCUCCAGGCCACAGGUCCCUUUCUUCACAUCGGAGCCGUGAUCGCCGUCACGGCUCUGGCGUGGCUGAUUGCAGGCCAGGUGGCCCGCGCCGAGAGAAUGUGGUUCCAAGCGGCCCUCCUGCUGUUCUAUGCAGGCACCCUGCUGACGCUCUACCUGGUGCCACUUGGCAUCAAGUCGCCGUGCAUCAUGAACCGAGGCGAUCUCAAGACAAGGCCCGCCAUCAUUGGACACCAGGGGGCGCCAAUGCUGGCUCCGGAGAACACAAUGAUGGCCUUCCAGAAAGCUAUUCAGCUGAAGGUCAGCGGCCUGGAGACCGACGUGACUAUCAGCGUGGAUGGGGUCCCCUUCCUUUUGCGUGAUCGCACCUUGAGAAGGACAACCGACGUGAAGCAGGUCUUCCCCGACAGGCAGUUUGAUGCUGCUUCUAUGUUCAACUGGACCGACCUGCAGGCUCUCAAUGCAGGACAGUGGUUUAUCAAGGAUAACCCCUUCUGGACAGUGGGGUCCCUGUCCAAAACAGACUUGGUGCAGGCUGAGAACCAGUCCCUGUGCAGCCUGGAGGACUUCCUGGAGCUGGCAGCUGGCUUCAACUGCUCGGUGGUCUUCCGACUGCAGCGGCCCCCACCCGGCCACCCCCACCACAUGAGCUGGAUAAACGACACCCUGGAGACAGUGCUGAGUUCGGGGAUCCAGCAGGAGCUGGUGAUGUGGACCCCAGACAAGGACAGGAAGUUGGUGCGGAAGGUGGCCCCGGGAUUCCAGCAGACCUCCACGCAAAAACAGUCCCCGGCCGCUGCGAACCAGGGGGGCAUCUCCAGGCUCCUCUUGCGCUACAACUGGGCAAGCGCUCGGGACGUCCGGGUGCUCUUCGCGCACAACGUGAGCCUCACCCUCUACACUGUGAAUAAGCCAUGGCUGUACUCCGUACUCUGGUGCAGUGGGGUGCCUUCAGUGUCCUCUGAUGCCCCCCAUAUCCUGAAUAAGGUGCCUUACCCCAUCUGGCUCAUGACUCCAGAUGAAUACUGCAUAAGCUGGGUCAUAACGGAUCUCGUCUCCAUCAUAACAGUAGUAGGAAUUUUUGUAUUCCAGAACUAUCACAUGAUCAGAUGGCGCAUGAGCGGGAUCCGCAGCUACAACCCGGAGCAGAUCAUGCUGAGCGCGGCUGUCCGGCGGAGCAGCCGGGACGUCAACAUCAUGAAGGAGAAGCUCAUCUUCUCAGGUUCCCAGACUUCGCCGCCAGAAGCCCUUGCCACAUUCCAGUGCUUGAAGUCCCCCCAUCCCAUUCCAUCAACCCCGUCCCAUCCAACUGUUUAACUACCCGUUGCUACCAUUCCUAUGCACCUCCCCACCCCCUCCCCGCACCCUUCUGCCCGCUGGAGACUUGCAUGGCCAUUCAUAGAGCUCACACUUGUGGUUUGCCCACCACUAAUGGCAGCCAAUAAGAGAGUUGAGCAACGGAGUGGGCAGCACGGAGGAGCUGUAUGCGGGGAACGGGUACGAUCGCUACACCAACGACGGCGUGGCCCACUGACCCGGGCUUGCUUGCCAGGAUCACCUCCCCAUGACGGACUGUCAACUGAGCGGGCGGGUAAAAAAAAUAAAUAAAAUAAAAUUUAAAAAGGGACGCACAAAGGAAACGUGGAGAGUAAUUCUUUUUAAAAUUUUAUUAUUUUUGUUCCACUCGGUGUGCCUGGCGCUACGGAUAGACAUACGGCUGUAGUGCCAAAACACACAAUGUUCUGUACAUGGCUGUCAAUGUCACUUUGAUUGUCCUUGCUCUCGUCGUAGGGUGGCGUUCAAGUGGAGCGUGGCAGUUUACAUUGCACUUUUUUAAAAAACGGACUGACUUUCAAAGUCUGCGGCCGCCUUUCCGUUUACAGUGUUUGCCGAAUAACUAACUCUUUGCCCUUAGGCAGGCUGUGUAUUUGCAUGCUGGAUUUUAUACAGCCAUCUUUGUUAUUUUAAAUAUAGUUUUCUAUAUUUAAGACCGUUCUCCAGUGGUAUUUUUGGAUAGUUUGCCGUGAAAUUGAUCUUCGCGAUUCUGCCUCAUUUAUUUUUAGAUCGCGGCAUGCUUUUACACGUGUAUUUGGCAUCUGUGUGUUCCUCAAAACGAAUGUCCCUAAAAUGUUUAGAAGUGGUGAAUUGGAUUUAGUCUUUUAACAUUUGAAUGGUUGUGCAUGCUAUAGCUGUUCUGGGAAAAAGGAGCAUUUGAAAGUAUGUAUUUUGUAAUGUGUAGGAAUCUAAAAUUUGUACCUGGUGGUGUUGCUCUCUUGAUCCAUAUGUUGUGCGCUAUGUAGACGCCGUGAUGAGCCUAGUGUUGGAAUCAGAGGUCGAUACUUGCAUACAAUAGUGUUGUAAUACAUGUAGAUUAGAGGAAAAAAAUACCAAAAUGAGGCUCAUGAUGUCCUUGACGUUCUUUUCUUCAUCUGGGUAGAAUGUCACUCUGACACGGUGGUGUUCAGGAUGCAUGGAUGAGUGGAAUGUGCAGCGUGUCCAUUAAAGAAAGGAAGAUGAGAAUUGCAAAUCAUAAUGCAGUGUAAUACUGAUCAAUUUAAAUUCAUUGCACAUAUCUUUGUGUUUUAAUGAUUAUAAUACCAAAGCAUUUUUUUAUUAAGCAAGCAGUCAUUAUUCCCUGCAUACAUUUCACAAUGAAGUGCACGACCUGGCAACCACACAGAUUUAUUUAUUAUUUUUUUUGAUGAUGUGAGGAUUCCUAGGUCACUUCGAAACCCCAACAGAUUUGAAUAAAUAUAGUUUUCUAAUAGCUGACAAUCGCAGUGUUGCGCAUUCGCAGUAUGUAAUUUUCGUGCUUGUAAGCUUUGAGAGGCGCAGUUGAUUUUAAAAAUCGACGCUCGUUGGGUUAGGCCAGGCCGCAGUGGAGGAUUUGAAGCAGUGUUUUGCCCCCAUAGUUUUAUUAGCUGCGACGUCCCACGUUACCAGAAAAGCUACUGAAUCUGCUGACAACUGGAAUACUAUGCGAUAAACUACUGUAGGUUUGUAUCCUGAUCGUUUAGAUGUGCUGGAAACAUCAAAUCGUUUGCAUGUUCUUUUUUUAAUGCCAUUUUUGAUGUGUAUAUAUGAAAUCUGCUUCACCCCAUGAAGAAAUCUAAUUUAAUGCUGAUCAAUUUACCUCCCAAUACCCAUGUUGUCUCUAUAUGUUCUUCUGUCUCCGUCACAUACGUAAGCAUGCAUUUUUUUCCAUUGAAUUAUUUUAUUUUCCUGUCACAAAUUGUCAUUUGACCGCUAAGCUACAAUUAUUUGUGAAACUUCGCCACAGUAACAGUAUCUGCAUUUGUCAGUACAUUAUAUUACUGUAUAGGAGAGUGCAUGCAAGACAGUGUCAUACACGGAACCAUGGAUUAAACAGGCGUUUAUCAUUUUUAAUGGCAGAAUCAAAUUUCGAAUGACAUUUAUGUGAAAUGACAAAAACUAUCUGGACAGAAGUAAUCAAAGGCGCUGUCAACAAUUUUCACAGCAGACUUUUUUUCCCCUUCCAAGAUGGCACAUUGGUACAAAAAUGUUCUUUAGUAUUAAUGCGCAGUGGGAAAUAAACUAAAGAAAAAAUACUCGGUAAUUCUGUCUGGUGAAAAGGCAAAGUAAUAUGAGCUUCUAAUUAAUUUGUAUGAUGAACUGAUUUCCUCGGAUACUUUUUAAAUACAUAUUUGUACCUUAUGCGCUGUUUCGGUUUGUUAUUUCAUGUGUGCAAUAAAAAGUCUCCGUUUUGAAAGUGCAA